AAGGCUCUCAGUGACUGUGGGGCAGUGAAUGAUUGGAAUUGUGAACGACCAGCUUGAAAAUUUGAUACGGAUAUACAUACCCGGAAGGUAGAGGACCAUCCAACUGUGGACGGUGGAGUGAACAGUUAUAUCUUAAAAGUCUGAUUUCGUAGAAUUUGCACCCAUAGGUUGCUGCGGCAUUCAUUUGGAACUUUGAAUCCCCCAUGUGCACUGCUUGAAAAUCUCUUUGUCCUGUCCUUGCCCUCUCUCUGUCUCUCUCUACCCCUUGCUCUUCCUCUUGUCAAAAUUAACUGCAAUGACAUCUAAAUUCUUUUGUUUGUAUUUAUUUUAGACAAGAGUUGUGAACUGUUUGUUUCGCCAGAGGUAUCUGCCUUGUCAUUUUGAUAAAUAACAUAGAUAUGAUAAUGCUUAA